GACGAACGCUGGCGGCGUGCUUAACACAUGCAAGUCGAACGGGCCUGUCUUCUUUUUUGGGGGUGGGUUGAGUGGCGAACGGGUGAGUAUCACGUGAGUAACCUGCCCUUCGGUCCUGGAUAACCGCUUGAAAGGGCGGCUAAUACGGGGUGGUCCGGUUGGUCCGCAUGGGCUGGUCGGGAUAGAUUCACUGUUUUUGGUGUUUCGGCGGGGGAUGGGCUCGCGGCCUAUCAGCUUGUUGGUGGGGUGAUGGCCUACCAAGGCGGUGACGGGUAGCCGGCCGAGGGGGGUGGGCGGCCACACUGGGACUGAGAUACGGCCCAGACUCCUGCGGGAGGCAGCAGUGGGGGGUAUUGCACAAUGGGCGGAAGCCUGAUGCAGCGACGUCGCGUGAGGGAUGGAGGCCUUCGGGUUGUGAACCUCUGUUUCCGGUGGUGAAGGCCCUGUCCGUGUGGUGGGGUUGACGGUAGCCGGGGAUGAAGCGCCGGCUAACUACGUG
rnacentral:rRNA from 1 species